AUAAAAUAAUGUCGGUAGCACAUAGAAAAAGGCAUUGUGAGAUCAUGGACGACCUCAAAGCCGCCGCUGACCCCGCCAGUUCUCUCAGCCCCUCGGAGGUGGUCAGUGCCUCAAUUUUGUGUUUAUUGUUCCUUUGCUUUAACUCUUAAUUCAGGUGUCACUGAUCCGCAGUUAGUGCGCUAAUCUUUUUACUUUUUUAAUGUUUAUUUACUUUUGAGAGAGAGAGAGACACACACAGCAUGAGUGCAGGAGGGGCAAAGAGAGGGGGAGACACAGAAUCCGAAGCGGGCUCCAGGCUCCGAGCUGUCAGCACAGAGCCCGACGCGGGGCUCGAACUCACAAACCAUGAGAUCACGACCUGGGCUGAAGUCGGAUGCUUUAACCAACGGAGCCCCCUAGGCGCCCCAGUGCACUGAUCCUGAGGAUAAGUUUCACAGACGUGUUCAGUGUAACCCGUGCUCUCUGCAAGACGCAGGGUUUUCCCGGACCCCAGAAGCUCUUGGGUGCCCUCAUCACUCCCUGCCGGAGAACUAUCGUGGCCUCUUUCUCUGUAGGUGAGGGUUACCUGGUCUUGGGCUUUGGAAAAGUGGGUCGUACGGAGCCCACUGUGCCUGGCGCCUUCCAGAGAGCAUCACGUCUGUCAGAUGCACCCACGAAGUCACGUCACUCGCUGGCUGCCGCAAAGCAACGCUCGCCUCUGUGAGUCAUGGUUUUCCCGGUUUUGACCGUCUUGUAACAAGAGCACAUGUGGCCUUCCGCCCGCUCUCCUCAUGCCACGUGGUGUGGACAAGCCCCGUGUCUGCCGCCUCCCAUGGCGGCUCGUCAGCCGGGCACCUCCUGUCCCCUCUUCUGUGACGCGUCUACUGUGUCCCGGCCCGCCAGGCCACGAUGGAGGAGAUCGCCUGGAACACGCCUGGAAUGGAGUGGGUGCUAGGCAAACAGCCGGGCGGUGAGUGGACGUGCGGAGGUGUGUCUGCCGGACGCACGCGGCCAACACUUCUUGAGGCCUCAGGACCUUUGCUCGGCACCAGGCGGAGUGGAAGCCCACAGGCCGCUCACAAUGGCCCCUUGAUGUGCAUGUGGAAGAGGAGGCUGGAAAUCGAAGCUCCCGUUUGGGGUGUGUUGGAGGUGACCGGCCCCUGUGCUGUGCUGGAGGUCCUCCUUGCCGGGCUGCUCGCCGUGUCCGUGGCACCUGGAAAGACGCAUCACGUGGCAGCAGCAGACACGAAACACCUGCUGUCCUGCCGUCUCCUCUGCGCCCAGACACCUGGAGGGAGCAAGUGCACGGGGGACCCGCGGGAACGGGAACGGCUGGCCCACGACCGGGUCAGGGCACCCAGCGUCCCCACACCACACCAGCCCGGGACGUGCAGAUGUGCACAGAGGUGCCGGUGCCCGAGAAGCGAGCCUCACGAUAAAUCCGUGCACUGCGUGGGCCGUCGCAGGGACCUGCCAGUGUCCUUGCCCGUGCCCCCUCCCCCCCCCCGCCCCGUUCUGUGGCCGCUCGGUCUCUGA
rnacentral:lncRNA from 1 species